rnacentral:rRNA from 1 species
AUGACGGUCGCCGAGCUGCUCCGCGCCCAGCUCGAGGAGCACAACAUCGAGGAUGAUGAUGACGACGAUGAAUACAAUGAUGAGGAUGAGGAUGAAAAAGAUGACGAUGAUGUUGAGGGAGGUGAUGCUAGUGGAAGAUCUAGGCAGACAAGGAGUGAGAAGAAGAGCAGGAAAGCCAUGGAGAAGCUUGGCAUGAAGGUCAUUACUGGUGUGAACCGUGUAACUAUCAAAAAGAGCAAGACCGUUACGUUUGUCCUCUCCAAGCCAGAUGUCUUCAAGAGCUCACACUCAGAAACCUAUGUCAUUAUCGGGGAGAUCAAGUUCGAGGACCUGAACACUGAGCUGCAGACACAAGCGGCAGAGCAGUUCAAGGCGCCGGGCCCGAGCAGGGUCAAUUCGAUGGGUGAGCCGUCCGUGGCAGCAGUCCAAGAUGACGAGGAGGUUGACGAGACCGGCGUUGACAAGAAGGACGUCGAGCUCAUGAUGAUGCAGGCCUCCGUGUCGAGAUCCAGGGCCGUGGAGGCACUCAAGGCUGCGGAUGGCGACAUCGUCAGCGCCAUCAUGGAGUUGACUAACUAG